GACGAACGCUGGCGGCGUGCCUAAUACAUGCAAGUAGAACGCUGAAGGAGGAGCUUGCUUCUCUGGAUGAGUUGCGAACGGGUGAGUAACGCGUAGGUAACCUGCCUGGUAGCGGGGGAUAACUAUUGGAAACGAUAGCUAAUACCGCAUAACAGUAGAUAUCGCAUGAUAUCUACUUGAAAGGUGCAAUUGCAUCACUACCAGAUGGACCUGCGUUGUAUUAGCUAGUUGGUGAGGUAACGGCUCACCAAGGCGACGAUACAUAGCCGACCUGAGAGGGUGAGCGGCCACACUGGGACGGAGACACGGCCCAGACUCCUACGGGAGGCAGCAGUAGGGAAUCUUCGGCAAUGGACGGAAGUCUGACCGAGCAACGCCGCGUGAGUGAAGAAGGUUGUCGGAUCGUAAAGCUCUGUUGUAAGGGAAGAACGAGUGUGAGAGUGGAAAGUUCACACUGUGACGGUAUCUUACCAGAAAGGGACGGCUAACUACGUG
rnacentral:rRNA from 1 species